AGAGUUUGAUCCUGGCUCAGGACGAACGCUGGCGGCGUGCUUAACACAUGCAAGUCGAACGGAAAGGCCCUUCGGGGUACUCGAGUGGCGAACGGGUGAGUAACACGUGGGUGAUCUGCCCUGCACUUUGGGAUAAGCCUGGGAAACUGGGUCUAAUACCGAAUAGGACCGCGCGCUUCAUGGUGUGUGGUGGAAAGCUUUUGCGGUGUGGGAUGGGCCCGCGGCCUAUCAGCUUGUUGGUGGGGUAAUGGCCUACCAAGGCGACGACGGGUAGCCGGCCUGAGAGGGUGACCGGCCACACUGGGACUGAGAUACGGCCCAGACUCCUACGGGAGGCAGCAGUGGGGAAUAUUGCACAAUGGGCGCAAGCCUGAUGCAGCGACGCCGCGUGAGGGAUGACGGCCUUCGGGUUGUAAACCUCUUUCACCAGGGACGAAGCGCAAGUGACGGUACCUAUAGAAGAAGCACCGGCCAACUACGUGCCAGCAGCCGCGGUAAUACGUAGGGUGCGAGCGUUGUCCGGAAUUACUGGGCGUAAAGAGCUCGUAGGUGGUUUGUCGCGUUGUUCGUGAAAACUCACAGCUUAACUGUGGGCGUGCGGGCGAUACGGGCAGACUAGAGUACUGCAGGGGAGACUGGAAUUCCUGGUGUAGCGGUGGAAUGCGCAGAUAUCAGGAGGAACACCGGUGGCGAAGGCGGGUCUCUGGGCAGUAACUGACGCUGAGGAGCGAAAGCGUGGGGAGCGAACAGGAUUAGAUACCCCGGUAGUCCAA
rnacentral:rRNA from 1 species